GACGUCGUGGAUAAGGAUAAGAAAAUAUUAAGCCCUAACGUUGUUCGAGGGAAAGGGAGACCCCCAACGAAGAGAAAGGUUCCACCUGUGGAGAAAGCCGCAACCAAGAGAAAGAAGAAACAUACUUGCAGGAAAAUAUUUGAUGAUGAACAAGUUGGAGUUGCUGAGGUCUCGACCCCCCAAGUUGGUACUAACGUUGAAGAUGUUGUUAUUGGAACCCAAUAUAGUACUAUCAAACAACAAACACCAUCGGGCAAUGAUGAGAAUUUGUGAAGCAUUGUUUAUGGGUUUUUUGAAGUAUUUUGAGAAAAUUUGGAGGUUUUCUAUUGGAGGUUGUGGUUGUAAAGAAUGUAUAGAUUUGUGGGUGUUCAACAUGUAUGAAAAUCAUUAUUAUAUUUUUGAUGGGUUAUUUGAAGUAUUUUGUGAAAAUCUGGAGCCUUUUUGUUGGUAGUUGUGGUUGUAAAGAAUGUACAGAUAGUCGAAUGCAGUACUUGUAUAAAAAUCAUUAUUAUAUAAAUCAUAGAAAUCUUGAAGUA